GACGAACCGUGCGAACGUUCUUCGGCAUCACCGGGCUUAAAGCGCGUGUAGGCGGGGCGGCACGUCCGUCGCUGAAAUCCCCCGGCUCAACCGGGGAACGGGCGCGGAUACGACCGUCCUGGAGGGACGUAGGGGGGGCUGGAACUUCCGGUGGAGCGGUGAAAUGCGUUGAGAUCGGAAGGAACGCCCGUGGCGAAAGCGAGCCCCUGGACGUCUACUGACGCUGAGACGCGAAAGCCAGGGGAGCGAACGGG
rnacentral:rRNA from 1 species